rnacentral:rRNA from 1 species
CUUCGGUCAGUGGGCACCGGCGCACGGGUGAGUAACGCGUGGGAACCUACCCAGGGGUGGGGGAUAACCGCUGGAAACGGCGGCUAAUACCGCAUACGCCUUUUUGAGGGAAAGAUUUAUCGCCCUUGGAUGGGCCCGCGUUGGAUUAGGUAGUUGGUGGGGUAAAGGCCUACCAAGCCUACGAUCUAUAGCUGGUCUGAGAGGAUGAUCAGCCACACUGGGACUGAGACACGGCCCAGACUCCUACGGGAGGCAGCAGUGGGGAAUCUUGGACAAUGGGGGCAACCCUGAUCCAGCCAUGCCGCGUGAGUGAAGAAGGCCUUAGGGUUGUAAAGCUCUUUCAACGGUGAAGAUGAUGACUGUAGCCGUAGAAGAAGCCCCGGCUAACUCCGUGCCAGCAGCCGCGGUAAUACGGAGGGGGCAAGCGUUGUUCGGAAUUACUGGGCGUAAAGGGCGUGUAGGCGGCCAAACAAGUCAGAGGUGAAAGCCCUGGGCUCAACCUGGGAACUGCCUUUGAAACUGUUUGGCUUGAGACCGGAAGAGGAUGGCGGAAUUCCCAGUGUAGAGGUGAAAUUCGUAGAUAUUGGGAAGAACACCGGUGGCGAAGGCGGCCAUCUGGUCCGGUUCUGACGCUGAGGCGCGAAAGCGUG